rnacentral:rRNA from 1 species
AACACAUGCAAGUCGAGCGGAGUUAUUCGCUGUUUGACCCUUCGGGGGAGAACAUGAAUAACUUAGCGGCGGACGGGUGAGUAACGCGUGGAUAAUCUGCCCAACACUCUGGGAUAACACAUGGAAACGUGUGCUAAUACCGGAUAAGCAUACACAGUCGCAUGGCUGAGUGUGAAAAGAUAUAUUGGUGUUGGAGGAGUCCGCGUUAGAUUAGUUAGUUGGUGGGGUAAUGGCCUACCAAGACUGCGAUCUAUAGCCGAACUGAGAGGUUGAUCGGCCACACUGGGACUGAGACACGGCCCAGACUCCUACGGGAGGCAGCAGUGAGGGAUAUUGCACAAUGGACGAAAGUCUGAUGCAGCAACGCCGCGUGAGUGAAGAAGGCCUUCGGGUCGUAAAGCUCUAUCGAUGGGGACGAAGACAAUGACGGUACCCAAGUAAGAAGCCCCGGCUAACUACGUGCCAGCAGCCGCGGUAAAACGUAGGGGGCAAGCGUUAUCCGGAAUUACUGGGUGUAAAGGGUGAGUAGCCGGUUUGGCAAGUCACAUGUGAAAUCCCGAGGCUCAACCUCGGGACUGCAUGAGAAACUGCUAAACUAGAGUGCAGGAGAGGUAAGCGGAAUUCCUUGUGUAGCGGUGAAAUGCGUAGAUAUAAGGAAGAACACCAGUGGCGAAGGCGGCUUACUGGACUGAAACUGACGGUGAGUCACGAAAGCGUGGGGAGCAAACAGGAUUAGAUACCCUGGUAGUCCACGCUGUAAACGAUGAUAGCUAGGUGUCGGGGCGGAAGCUUCGGUGCCGGCGCUAACGCAAUAAGCUAUCCACCUGGGGAGUACGGUCGCAAGACUGAAACUCAAAGGAAUUGACGGGGGCCCGCACAAGCGGUGGAGCAUGGUGGAUUAAUUCCGACGCAACGCGAAAGAACCUUUACCAGGGCUUGACAUGGAAGAUGAACCCGGUAUUAGAAGAAUUAUACUUUUCCCUUCGGGGGCAUCUCACA